CGAGCACGCGCGUGUGGCAUAUCAAUAAGCGGAGGAAAAGAAACUAACAAGGAUUCCCUUAGUAACGGCGAGUGAAGCGGGAAGAGCUCAAAUUUGAAAUCUUCAAGGUUCUACCUUGACGAAUUGUAGUUUAUAGAAGUGUUUUCUGUUAGUGGAGUGGCAAAAGUUCUUUGGAAUAGGACAGUCAUAGAGAGUGAGAAUCCCGUAUUUGGUCAUUCCUCCUAGCGUUGUGAUACACUUUCAACGAGUCGGAUUGUUUGGGAAUGCAGUCCAAAAUGGGUGGUAAAUUUCAUCUAAAGCUAAAUAUUGGCGAGAGACCGAUAGCGAACAAGUACCGUGAGGGAAAGAUGAAAAGAACUUUGAAAAGAGAGUUAAACAGUACGUGAAAUUGUCAAAAGGGAAGCGUUUGACACCAGUGUUGUUUUUCCGAAAAUCAAUUACGAAUGUUUUGUUUUUAAGAAGUUAUGACUUCAUCGGCUUGCUUCUCUCUUUACGAAACUUUCUUAAUGCACUUUUCGGUUAACAAGUCAACAUCAAUUUCUUUUGUUGUAAAAGGGUAUGAGGAAGGUGGCUUUCUUUUCGGAGAAAGUGUUUAUAGCCUUGUACCUCUGCAAUCGGAGAGAUUGAGGUCUGCAGCGUAGAUCCUUCGGGGUUAGAUACAUUUGUGCUGAGUUAUAGCUUUUCAUAGACAACUUGUUGACUAUGUUAAGUCUUGUAGCUUACUCGCUUAUGCUAUUUUACCUACGCUUAGGAUGUUGAUGUGAUACUGCGAGCA
rnacentral:rRNA from 1 species